rnacentral:rRNA from 1 species
CCUACGGGAGGCAGCAGUGAGGAAUAUUGGUCAAUGGACGAGAGUCUGAACCAGCCAAGUAGCGUGAAGGAUGACUGCCCUAUGGGUUGUAAACUUCUUUUAUAUGGGAAUAAAAUGUUCCACGUGUGGGAUUUUGUAUGUACCAUAUGAAUAAGGAUCGGCUAACUCCGUGCCAGCAGCCGCGGUAAUACGGAGGAUCCGAGCGUUAUCCGGAUUUAUUGGGUUUAAAGGGAGCGUAGGUGGAUUGUUAAGUCAGUUGUGAAAGUUUGCGGAUCAACCGUAAAAUUGCAGUUGAAACUGGCAGUCUUGAGUACAGUAGAGGUGGGCGGAAUUCGUGGUGUAGCGGUGAAAUGCUGAGAUAGCACGAAGAACUCCGAUUGCGAAGGCAGUUCACUGGACUGCAACUGACACUGAGGCUCGAAAGUGUGGGUAUCAAACAGGAUUAGAUACCCCUGUAGUC